GCCCAUGACCUUACCACCCUGAAUGUGCCUGAUCUUGUUUUAUCUCAGAAACUAAGCAAGGCCAGACCUGUUAGUACUUUGAUGGUAUAAGAGGGGCAAGAUUUCUUUUGUU
rnacentral:rRNA from 1 species